rnacentral:rRNA from 1 species
CACCUUUUGACAUGCCCGGACCGCUGCAGAGAUGCAGCUUUCCUUUCGGGGACCGGGACACAGGUGCUGCAUGGCUGUCGUCAGCUCGUGUCGUGAGAUGUUGGGUUAAGUCCCGCAACGAGCGCAACCCUCGCCAUUAGUUGCCAUCAUUCAGUUGGGCACUCUAAUGGGACUGCCGGUGCUAAGCCGGAGGAAGGUGGGGAUGACGUCAAGUCCUCAUGGCCCUUACGGGUUGGGCUACACACGUGCUACAAUGGCGGUGACAAUGGGUGGCAAAGCCGCAAGGCCGAGCUAAUCUCAAAAAGCCGUCUCAGUUCGGAUUGCACUCUGCAACUCGAGUGCAUGAAGUCGGAAUCGCUAGUAAUCGUGGAUCAGCACGCCACGGUGAAUA